GAGCUAAUACCGGAUACGUUCUUUUCUCGCAUGAGAGAAGAUGGAAAGACGGUUUACGCUGUCACUUAUAGAUGGGCCCGCGGCGCAUUAGCUAGUUGGUGAGGUAAUGGCUCACCAAGGCGACGAUGCGUAGCCGACCUGAGAGGGUGAUCGGCCACACUGGGACUGAGACACGGCCCAGACUCCUACGGGAGGCAGCAGUAGGGAAUCUUCCGCAAUGGACGAAAGUCUGACGGAGCAACGCCGCGUGAACGAAGAAGGCCUUCGGGUCGUAAAGUUCUGUUGUUAGGGAAGAACAAGUACCAGAGUAACUGCUGGUACCUUGACGGUACCUAACCAGAAAGCCACGGCUAACUACGUGCCAGCAGCCGCGGUAAUACGUAGGUGGCAAGCGUUGUCCGGAAUUAUUGGGCGUAAAGCGCGCGCAGGUGGUUCCUUAAGUCUGAUGUGAAAGCCCACGGCUCAACCGUGGAGGGUCAUUGGAAACUGGGGAACUUGAGUGCAGAAGAGGAAAGUGGAA
rnacentral:rRNA from 2 species